rnacentral:tRNA from 1 species
ACCUCUAUAGCUCAGUUGGUAGAGCAACGGACUCUUAAUCCGAUGGUCGCAGGUUCGAACCCUGCUGGGGGUACCA